rnacentral:tRNA from 1 species
UGGGAUGUGGCUCAGUGGUAGAGCACUUGCCUAACAUGCAUGAGGCACUGGGUUCGUUCCCCAGCACCACAU